UACGGAGGGGGCUAGCGUUGUUCGGAAUUACUGGGCGUAAAGGGUGCGUAGGCGGCUUUCUAAGUCGAACGUGAAAUCCCUGGGCUCAACCCAGGAACUGCGUCCGAUACUGGGAGGCUUGAAUCCGGGAGAGGGAUGCGGAAUUCCAGGUGUAGCGGUGAAAUGCGUAGAUAUCUGGAGGAACACCGGUGGCGAAGGCGGCAUCCUGGACCGGCACUGACGCUGAGGAGCGAAAGCGUGGGUAGCAAACAGG
rnacentral:rRNA from 1 species